GCAGACUUUCAGAGGCAGGAUAACGUGAUUUCUGGAGUUUCAGGAAACGGUGCCCUCUGUGAACUGUUUUUCAGCGUAUUGUGGAGAAAUGUGUCUGUUGCCUCUGUGCACGUGGCAUGCGCCAGAUAACCUGUAAGCGUGUCUGAGGAAGAUUCCAGAUGUGGAGACUUGAACCCAGGACUGUGACAGCACUUUAUGCAUGUAAAAGACCCAGAGUUCAUGGUUUACCGAGCAGAAACCAGCGAUCUCUUCUUGCCUCUACCUCUGCUUCUACUUUUGAUGUGCUUUUCUG